GUCCAAGUACAGAUCCCUGAGGUACCCCACUGGUGACAGGCCCAUGCUUUGAAUAUACUCCAUUGACUACAACUCUCUGUUGCAUUGACUAUAGCCCUCUGAUACAGCAGUAAGGGACAGGAGGGGAGAGCACUAAGGGAAAGGGGGCAGGGAGAUCACUAAGGGACAGUAGGGCAGGGGAGAGCUCUAAGGGACAAGAGGGGAGAGAGACUGAGGAAGGAGGGAAAGAUAAGCAAAAAGGGGCUGGG